rnacentral:ncRNA from 2 species
UAACCAUCCCGAGCGGCUGAGAGAUCUGGCUCCGUGACGCCGCAGCAACCCCCUCCUUUGAGGACGGUGCUACCGCCAGGACCGAUGGAGA